rnacentral:lncRNA from 1 species
GUUUGCACUCCGACGGUCAAGUCAACGGUCGGACGGAGAUAGAUAUAAAGAGUGCAAUAGUAGAGAGAUAGGGGAUUUGGCUAGAGUAUUUAGAACAUACCUUAAGUUGUGAAUUGAAUCCAUAUAUAUAGAGAAAUGAUGUGAAAUGGGCCAAGGCAGGUUAAUGGGCCUAAGUUUGAGCCCAGUAUGAGGUGAGCAAAGUGAUAGGCACUUCGGCUGGGCUUUUUAUGGCCUCG